rnacentral:rRNA from 1 species
CCCUUAGAUGUUCUGGGCCGCACGCGCGCUACACUGAUGCAUUCAACAAGCCUAGCCUUGACCGAGAGGUCCGGGUAAUCUUUGAAACUGCAUCGUGAUGGGGCUAGAUUAUUGCAAUUAUUAAUCUUCAACGAGGAAUGCCUAGUAAGCGUGAUUCAUCAAAUCGCGUUGAUUACGUCCCUGCCCUUUGUACACACCGCCCGUCGCUCCUACCGAUUGAAUGUGUUGGUGAGGAGCUCGGAUUGGCAGCAGUUGGUGGUUCGCCACCGGCUAUUGCUGAGAAGUCCUCCAAGCCGCCCCAUUUAGAGGAAGGAGAAGUCGUAACA